rnacentral:tRNA from 1 species
GGAGAUGUAGCUCAGUGGUAGAGUGCUUGACUAGCAUGGAGAGGAUCUGGGUUCAAUUCCUAGCACCA